rnacentral:misc_RNA from 1 species
GAUGAAGAACGUAGCAAAAUGCGAUACUUGGUGUGAAUUGCAGAAUCCCGUGAACCAUCGAGUUUUUGAACGCAAGUUGCGCCCGAAGCCUUUUGGCCGAGGGCACGUCUGCCUGGGCGUCACGCAUCGCGUCGCCCCCCACAAUUCUCCGUAAAGGGAACGUGUGUUUUGGGGGCGGAUAUUGGUCUCCCGUGCUCAUGGCGUGGUUGGCCGAAAUAGGAGUCCUUUCGAUGGACGCACGAACUAGUGGUGGUCGUAAAAACCCUCGUCUUUUGUUUCGUGCUGUUGCUCGCAAGGUAAACUCUUUAAAAACCCCAAUGUGUCGUCUCUUGACGACGCUUCGACCGCGACCCCAGGUCAGGCGGGACUACCCGCUGAGUUUAAGCAUAUCAAUAAGCGAGGA